rnacentral:rRNA from 1 species
GACGAACGCUGGCGGCGUGCUUAACACAUGCAAGUCGAGCGGUAAGGCCCUUUCGGGGGUACACGAGCGGCGAACGGGUGAGUAACACGUGGGUGACCUGCCCUCAGCUCUGGGAUAAGCCUGGGAAACCGGGUCUAAUACUGGAUAUGACUCCAUGACGCAUGUUGUGGGGUGGAAAGCCUUGUGCGGCUGAGGAUGGGCCCGCGGCCUAUCAGCUUGUUGGUGGGGUGANGGCCUACCAAGGCGACGACGGGUAGCC